AAUCUUGUCUCGUUGUUUCUGCAGGGAAGCGGCGCAGGAAAACGACGGAAAGUCUCAGCUUUACAACGAGAUCCGGCGGAAGAAGAAGGAAAGGAAAGUGAAGAAGAGAGCAAAGAAAGGAGACGACUGCAGCCUCCCAGGACUCACCUGCUUCACUCACAACAACGACCACUGGGCCACCGCCCCCCUGUGGACAUUGGGGGGCUUCUGCGCCUGCACCAGCUCCAACAACAACACCUACUGGUGUCUGAGGACCAUCAACGAGACGCACAACACGCUCUUCUGCGAGUUCUCCACUGGAUUCCUGGAGUACUUUGACCUCAACAACGACCCCUACCAGCUGACCAACACGGUGUACUCGGUGGAUCGAGACGUCCUGAACUCUCUUCACGCUCACCUGAUGGAGAUGAGGAGCUGUCAGGGACACAAGCAGUGCAACCCCCGCCCAAAAGGACCCGACGCAGGUAAACACUCACCUGCAGAAACUAUACACACCUGUCCGAUAUCUGAAGUG